rnacentral:rRNA from 1 species
GAUGAACGCUGGCGGCAUGCCUAACACAUGCAAGUCGAACGGGAAGUCGUGUAUCCCGUGCCGCUCGGGUUAGCAACGCGCAAGAACCUGACCUUUGGAGGGGAACCACAGCUGGCAACGGCUGCUACUACCCCGUAGUCCGAGUAGCACAAGAAGGAAUCCACCCGAGGAGGGGCUUGCGCCUGAUUAGCUAGGUGGUGCGGCAAUAGCUUACCAAGGCGAUGAUCAGUAGCUGGUACGAGAGGACGAUCGGCCACACUGGGACGGAGGCACGGUCCAGACACCUACGGGAGGCAGCAGUGGGGAAUUUUCCGCAAUGGGCGAAAGCCUGACGGGGCAAUGCGGCGUGGAGGUAGAAGGCCCAGGGGUGGUGAACUGCUUGUCACGGAGAAGAAGCAAUGACGGUAACUGGGGAAUAAGCAUCGGCUAACUCUGUG